rnacentral:tRNA from 1 species
CCUUCGAUAGCUCAGCUGGUAGAGCGGAGGACUGUAGGCUCAGACAGACGUCUGUGGACAUCCUUAGGUCGCUGGUUCGAUUCCGGCUCGAAGGA